CAGUAGCCGCGGUAAUACCGAGGGUGCAAGCGUUAAUCGGAUUUACUGGGCGUAAAGGGCGCGUAGGUGGUUAUUUAAGUGAGAUGUGAAAGCCCCGGGCUUAACCUGGGAACUGCAUCUUAUACUGGGUAACUGGAGUGCAGUAGAGGGUAGUGGAAUUUCCGGUGUAGCGGUGAAAUGCGUAGAUAUCGGAAGGAACACCUGUGGCGAAAGCGGCUCACUGGACCAUAACUGACGCUGAUGCACGAAAGCUAGGGGAGCAAACAGGAUUAGAGACCCCAGUAGUCCCUGUCUCUUAUAC
rnacentral:rRNA from 1 species